UUGGCCCAACUGAUUGAACGUGCUUGCACGGACUUGACGUUGGUUUACCAGCGAGUGGCGGACGGGUGAGUAACACGUAGGUAACCUGCCCCAAAGCGGGGGAUAACAUUUGGAAACAGAUGCUAAUACCGCAUAACAAUUUGAAUCGCAUGAUUCAAAUUUAAAAGAUGGCUUCGGCUAUCACUUUGGGAUGGACCUGCGGCGCAUUAGCUUGUUGGUAGGGUAACGGCCUACCAAGGCUGUGAUGCGUAGCCGAGUUGAGAGACUGAUCGGCCACAAUGGAACUGAGACACGGUCCAUACUCCUACGGGAGGCAGCAGUAGGGAAUCUUCCACAAUGGGCGCAAGCCUGAUGGAGCAACACCGCGUGAGUGAAGAAGGGUUUCGGCUCGUAAAGCUCUGUUGUUAGAGAAGAACGUGCGUGAGAGCAACUGUUCACGCAGUGACGGUAUCUAACCAGAAAGUCACGGCUAACUACGUGCCAGCAGCCGCGGUAAUACGUAGGUGGCAAGCGUUAUCCGGAUUUAUUGGGCGUAAAGCGAGCGCAGGCGGUUUGAUAAGUCUGAUGUGAAAGCCUUUGGCUUAACCAAAGAAGUGCAUCGGAGACUGUCAGACUUGAGUGCAGAAGAGGACAGUGGAAUUCCAUGUG
rnacentral:rRNA from 1 species